CCUACGGGAGGCUGCAGUGGGGGAUAUUGGGCAAUGGGCGAAACCCUGACCCAGCAACGCCGCGUGAGUGAAGAAGGAUUUCGGGAUGUAAACCUCUGUUCUCAGGGAAGAAAGAAAUGACGGUACCUGAGGAAUAAGCCCCGGCUAACUACGUGCCAGCAGCCGCGGUAAUACGUAGGUGGCAAGCGUUAUCCGGAUUUACUGGGUGUAAAGGGCGCGUAGGCGGGUCUGCAAGUCAGGUGUGAAAACCGGGGGCUCAACCUGUGGCCUGCAUUUGAAACUGUAGUGCUUGAGUACUGGAGAGGCAGGCGGAAUUCCUAGUGUAGCGGUGAAAUGCGUAGAUAUUAGGAGGAACACCAGUGGCGAAGGCGGUUUACUGGACAGCAACUGACGUUGAGGCGCGAAAGCGUGGGGAGCAAACAGGAUUAGAUACCCGGGUAGUC
rnacentral:rRNA from 1 species